AUUCCAUAUGGAGGGGUUGUUUCCUUUUUCAUCCUUUCCCCCUUCUUUUCACCCUAAAAUGGCAUAAAAGAUGGGUCUUAUAAAUUGGAUAAUCACUGAUCAAAAGAUAGUUAAAAUCUCUUCUUUUCCAUUUAGCCAUAUGUUGCUGAAAUGCAGAUGGUAGCUAAAAUUCUUUAUCAUCUAGUUCAGAGGCCUGAGGAUUAUUAGAAAAACAUUGAAAAUGCUAUUAAACUUUAUAGGGAAAUAGUUCUUCAUGGUUUACAACUCCUUCCUCCUUUGAAGAUCUUGCAAUGUUAAAAUUGAGGAAGAAAAUGCGAAGGAGGGUGAAGGGAGGGCUGGAGAAUGGGGAAAAAAAUAAGAACCAAGAUACAUCAGAAAUACAACUUACAGAAUAAGAAGAAACAAUCAAAUCAAGUCUAAUAGAAAAUAACCCACUGCCUUCCAAAAUUCUUGAAGUAAUUUUUUCUGAGUCAGAGAUUAUGUUCUGCUACUACCUGGAUAAGAAAACACCGAACAAAUUCAGCACCUACAGGACCACUCAGUGUGAUGGUCAUAACUAAUGUGACACCUGAGUUGAAUCCAUCCCGACUCCACAUAUACCCUGGAGCUUGCUGUCAUGGACAGAGGCAAGAGAUUUCUCAUUCUUCCCUUCUGUGUGCAGAACAUGUGGCUCCAGGACUCACCAUUUUAAAUCAGUGAGGGAAUCACAUGCAGCCAAAGCCCUUCCCAUAUUUGUCCUCUUGCUCUAAAUCAAAAGCAUUGCCUUUACCUUCUGAUUUUUUUAGCAGCAAAUAAAACAUUUUAACAUUAGAAACCAC
rnacentral:lncRNA from 1 species